UCAAUAGUUCUUUACGACUGUUGCGUCACUAUUCUCAUCGUUCUGUGAGGCGUUCAAAGUGGUUCGCGUAGAUGCUUGCGCAUGUGCGGUUAUUUAUGCGACCUUCAUCAGACUAGUCUAAUGAAACGACUCCAUAUGUGUGUCUUAUUUGUAAGAACGAAGUAACGGCCAGUGUUGUACAUAUUCAUCCUUUCAAAGUCGCGCUCAUUACUCUUCGCUCGUGACGUCAAAUAUAAAAAAAAACAUUAUUCAUUGAUCUCGAUGCAUGCGAUUAAGUGUUCUUCGGCAAUUAUCAGCAAUCAGACGCAAGAAUUCAUAAAUUUUCUUUAUGAAUUGUGCUUAUCGUGACUUCGCGUCUUUGGACUGACUCAAGUUGAAGUUUCAGUGUUAAAAAAAAAAAAACUUUAUAUUUAUAUAAAAUAAAUGCAAAAAUUACAAAUAUAAAUCUGUACAUUCUACAAUAGCAUUUAAUUGUCGUACAUUCGUUAAUAUCACUGAAUCCAAUUAUUACAUGUGGCUGGAUGUGAAAUGUGUUUUUACUGGACAAAACCCGGCAACAGCGUUUGUUCAUGCCUGUUCUGUGCAUUCUCGAUUCUAGCCUUGAUGGUAUUUCAGUUUUAUGGAUCGGCGAAUCUAACCGCGUAGCAGCAAGUAGAAAUCGCUAAGUUGGCAGAUGACGGCUUUCCAUGCGCAAACAUCCCGCGAGAUAAACGCGGAAGAGCUUGAUGGAAUUUGCGCGUCCGUGAACGCUCUGAUUUGCAUGUAUUUCAUAGUACACGUAAAACAGAUGGAAAGACGUGUUUUGAAAUUAUGAUUUAAAUAACGAAUCGCAAGAGUUAAACGACCGUGACUGCUGAAACGUGACCUCACUAUUUUCGUGUUUAAGAAGCACGAUACUUCAAUACCAAAAAAAUUGAUAUCUAAAACAAGAAUAGCUGAGCGGUAUAAGUUGCUUGCACAGAUCGGAAUUCUUCGCUAUUGCAUUGCGCAUGUCCAAGAUACAAUCACUGAUCAUUUAAUAUUAAUGACACGUACAUAGUAAAGAUAAAUAUGUAAAGAAUGAUUCAUAAUGCAUAAAUUUAACUUCAUAAAGAGAUGUAAGAAGAAUAUAAGUAUCUACAAUGCAGAAGAGAUGACUUCGUCGCCAAAAGAACAAGUAUAUUCAAAAAAGAUAAUGCAGAAAAAUGAAUGUGACGAAGGAAGCACAGAGCUUUUUCUACUACAACAGCCAACACCCAUCGAUUUCGUCUAUCCAUCGUCUUCUGGACAAUCUUGUGAUAAUCCUUACGUAACUCAAGCAGCUUAUAACCCAUCUUAUAAACUGGCCUUGAAUGAUAUUGUAGGUUAUAGCAUUAACGAAAAUAACGACGACAGCAAGAUUAACGAGAAAAAUACAUCAGCUGAAGCAAAAGAUACCCGCAUUGAAACCUGUAUAACAUACUGUAUCAUUGGAGUAGUAAUUCUCAUUAUUACUGGCGUAAUUAUUGGAAUUGUGUAUUUCCUAAUACAACAUCCAAAACUCGCACAUGCUCUGCACAAGGCGAUAGAAGCUGAAAAGGAUGACAAGGACGCGUCGUCGCUAAAAAAAGUCACAGCAACCGCAAAUGAAUUAGCAAACAAGACUUCAACUUUUAAAUCAUCCUACGACAAUGACGAACGGAGCUUCUAACUUAAUGUAUACGAAGAUUGACAUUACCAAGAUUUGUCUUCGAUCAUUUGAUAAGUGGGAGUGAUAAUACUGGUAACUGCUGGUAAUAACGUUAAUACAACUGCUCACAGACUGACACGUGCGUGGUGCUUGACAGUGACAACUCAUCAAUAGCACAAAGCUAUAUCAUUGAUAACUAAGAACUGUGUUUUUUUGUUUGGAAAUUGGAGAUUAGAUGCUGUGAUACAAUUUGUUUUAAAUUAAAACUAUCUAAAUUUUGUAUGAGUUUUCUCGCUUAAUAACUAAUUCCAUAUAUAUUUGUGUAUAUUUUAAUAACUGGCAAUGUAUGAAAUAUAUAUGCCUGGCUACAUAAGUUUGCACAUUACAAAGAAUCAGUAACGUUAUCGUCUUUAUAAAAAUCAACAAUA